rnacentral:lncRNA from 1 species
UCAGACUCCUGAGGCCCCUCCUCCAUGAGGACCUUGCCUCCUCAGGGCGUCAACUUCCUGAGGGCACCCUGUGAGCUCUGCUCCAAGUCCUGACUCUGCCUGGCCAAGUUCCUUUCCUGUCCCUGGGUUUGUCUUGCACUUUCUUCUAAGUAUUUCUCCUAGAAGGCAGAUGAAUCUCCUGGGAAUUCUCCCAGUGCAGAGUUCCAGGCCCACUGGACAUUAAUGAGGGGAGAUCAGGGAGCAAGUGGAGCUUCAUGGAGAGACUGGAUAUCUAUCUGGAGGCAUUAUGGAAGGAUAACAGAUUCUAGAAGAAAUAUGAAGCAGCAACUGUGAAGCUUGAGCUUCUCAACCUUUGCAGCCCUAACCCAACUUGGCUUAAUUCAGCCUCACUGAACCAGAUCUAAACACUCUUGGCUCCCAGAUGUUGCUACAGCUCUCUGAUCUUUAGAAU